rnacentral:rRNA from 1 species
CCUACGGGAGGCAGCAGUGAGGAAUAUUGGUCAAUGGACGAGAGUCUGAACCAGCCAAGUAGCGUGAAGGAUGACUGCCCUAUGGGUUGUAAACUUCUUUUAUAUGGGAAUAAAAUGUUCCACGUGUGGGAUUUUGUAUGUACCAUAUGAAUAAGGAUCGGCUAACUCCGUGCCAGCAGCCUCGGUAAUACGGAGGAUCCGAGCGUUAUCCGGAUUUAUUGGGUUUAAAGGGAGCGUAGGUGGAUUGUUAAGUCAGUUGUGCAAGUUUGCGGCUCAACCGUAAAAUUGCAGUUGAAACUGGCAGUCUUGAUUACAGGAGAGGUGGGCGGAAGUCGUGGUGUAGCGGUGCAAUGCUUAGAUAUCACGCAGAACCCCGAGUGCGAAGGCAGCAUGCCGGCUUCCGACUGACGCUGAAGCACGAAAGCGUGGGGAUCGAACAGGAUUAGAUACCCUUGUAGUC